rnacentral:rRNA from 1 species
UACGGAGGGUGCGAGCGUUGUCCGGAAUCAUUGGGCGUAAAGGGCGCGUAGGUGGCCCGGUCAGUUCGUGGUGAAAGCGCGGGGCUCAACCCUGCGUCGGCCAUGAAUACUGCCGCGGCUGGAGCACUGUAGAGGCAGGCGGAAUUCCGGGUGUAGCGGUGGAAUGCGCAGAUAUCAGGAGGAACACCAGUGGCGAAGGCGCCGCUCUGGGCCGAGACUGACGCUGAGGAGCGAAAGCGUGGGUAGCAAACAGG